CAAGACAACUUUACGGAGUUGACGAUUGACGGAGCGAAGCGACGUCAAAGCGUUCAUUAAAGUCGAGUUGGCUUAGGGAUACGUUCGUUGGGUAGGGGAGCGUUCUGUAAGCCUGUGAAGGUGUGUCGUGAGGCAUGCUGGAGGUAUCAGAAGUGCGAAUGCUGACAUAAGUAACGAUAAAGCGGGUGAAAAGCCCGCUCGCCGGAAGACCAAGGGUUCCUGUCCAACGUUAAUCGGGGCAGGGUGAGUCGACCCCUAAGGCGAGGCCGAAAGGCGUAGUCGAUGGGAAACGGGUUAAUAUUCCCGUACUUGGUGUUACUGCGAAGGGGGGACGGAGAAGGCUAUGUUGGCCGGGCGACGGUUGUCCCGGUUUAAGCGUGUAGGUGUGUGUUCCAGGUAAAUCCGGUUCACUUUAACACUGAGGCGUGACGACGAGGCACUACGGUGCUGAAGCAACAAAUGCCCUGCUUCCAGGAAAAGCCUCUAAGCAUCAGGUAACAUCAAAUCGUACCCCAAACCGACACAGGUGGUCAGGUAGAGAAUACCAAGGCGCUUGAGAGAACUCGGGUGAAGGAACUAGGCAAAAUGGUGCCGUAACUUCGGGAGAAGGCACGCUGACACGUAGGUGAAGUGAUUUACUCAUGGAGCUGAAGUCAGUCGAAGAUACCAGCUGGCUGCAACUGUUUAUUAAAAACACAGCACUGUGCAAACACGAAAGUGGACGUAUACGGUGUGACGCCUGCCCGGUGCCGGAAGGUUAAUUGAUGGGGUCAGCGCAAGCGAAGCUCCUGAUCGAAGCCCCGGUAAACGGCGGCCGUAACUAUAACGGUCCUAAGGUAGCGAAAUUCCUUGUCGGGUAAGUUCCGACCUGCACGAAUGGCGUAAUGAUGGCCAGGCUGUCUCCACCCGAGACUCAGUGAAAUUGAACUCGCUGUGAAGAUGCAGUGUACCCGCGGCAAGACGGAAAGACCCCGUGAACCUUUACUAUAGCUUGACACUGAACAUUGAGCCUUGAUGUGUAG
rnacentral:rRNA from 2 species